rnacentral:misc_RNA from 1 species
ACACCUCAACUCUCGUGGUUUGCCAUGAUGAGCUUGGACUCUGGGGGUUUUGCUGGCCUGUGGUCAGCUCCUCUCAAAUGAAUCAGCUUACCAGUAUUUGGUGGCGUCACAGGUGUGAUAACUGUCUACGCUUGUGGUUGUCUGCCGAGUAACCUUUGGUGACAGAGGUUCGCUGGAGCUUAUAAACGUCUCUCCUCAGCGAAGACAUCUUUUUUGACC